CAGGGUGUAGCGCAGUCUGGUAGCGUGCCGUCUCGGGAAGGCGGAGGUCGUCGGUUCGAAGCCGGCAUUCUGC
rnacentral:tRNA from 1 species